UCGUAACAAGGUCUCCGUAGGUGAACCUGCGGAGGGAUCAUUACACAAAUUAAAAUAUGAAGGCUUCGGCUGGAUUAUUUUUAUCACCCUUGUCUUUUGCGCACUUGUUGUUUCCUGGGCGGGUUCGCCCGCCACCAGGACCACACCAUAAACCUUUUUUUAUGCAGUUGCAAUCAGCGUCAGUAUAACAAAUGUAAAUCAUUUACAACUUUCAACAACGGAUCUCUUGGUUCUGGCAUCGAUGAAGAACGCAGCGAAAUGCGAUACGUAGUGUGAAUUGCAGAAUUCAGUGAAUCAUCGAAUCUUUGAACGCACAUUGCGCCCUUUGGUAUUCCAAAGGGCAUGCCUGUUCGAGCGUCAUUUGUACCCUCAAGCUUUGCUUGGUGUUGGGCGUCUUUUGUCUUUGGCCUCGCCCAAAGACUCGCCUUAAAACGAUUGGCAGCCGGCCUACUGGUUUCGCAGCGCAGCACAUUUUUGCGCUUGCAAUCAGCAAAAAGGACGGCAAUCCAUCAAGACUACAUUUUUACGUUUGACCUCGGAUCAGGUAGGGAUACCCGCUGAACUUAAGCAUAUCAAUAA
rnacentral:misc_RNA from 1 species